GACGAACGCUGGCGGCGCGCUUAACACAUGCAAGUCGAGCGAUCGACUCCGGGCUUGCCCGGAGCACGGAGCGGCGAACGGGUGAGUAACACGUGGGUGACCUACCCUUGGUUCCGGGAUAACUCCGGGAAACCGGCGCUAAUACCGGAUGGCCUCCGAUGUCCACGGACAUUUGAGAAAAGGUAGCUUUGGCCUCCGACCGAGGAUGGGCCCGCGGCCGAUUAGCUUGUUGGUGAGGUAAUGGCUCACCAAGGCGACGAUCGGUAGCUGGUGUGAGAGCAUGACCAGCCACACUGGGACUGAGACACGGCCCAGACUCCUACGGGAGGCAGCAGUGGGGAAGUCUUGUCGCAAUGGGCGAAAGCCUGACGCAGCGACGCCGCGUGCGGGAAGAAGGCCUCGGUU
rnacentral:rRNA from 1 species